AGAGUUUGAUCAUGGCUCAGAUUGAACGCUGGCGGCAUGCUUUACACAUGCAAGUCGAACGGCAGCACGGGAGCUUGCUCCUGGUGGCGAGUGGCGAACGGGUGAGUAAUGCACCGGAACGUACCCAGUAAUGGGGGAUAACACAUCGAAAGAUGUGCUAAUACCGCAUACGCCCUGAGGGGGAAAGCGGGGGAUCGUAAGACCUCGCGUUAUUGGAGCGGCCGAUGCCGGAUUAGCUAGUUGGUGAGGUAAGGGCUCACCAAGGCGACGAUCCGUAGCUGGUCUGAGAGGACGACCAGCCACACUGGGACUGAGACACGGCCCAGACUCCUACGGGAGGCAGCAGUGGGGAAUUUUGGACAAUGGGCGCAAGCCUGAUCCAGCCAUGCCGCGUGAGUGAAGAAGGCCUUCGGGUUGUAAAGCUCUUUCGCAAGGAAAGAAAACUUAUCUACUAAUACUAGGUGAGGUUGACGGUACCUUGAUAAGAAGCACCGGCUAACUACGUGCCAGCAGCCGCGGUAAUACGUAGGGUGCGAGCGUUAAUCGGAAUUACUGGGCGUAAAGCGUGCGCAGGCGGUUUUGUAAGUCAGAUGUGAAAUCCCCGGGCUCAACCUGGGAACUGCGUUUGAAACUACAAGGCUAGAGUGUAGAAGAGGGGGGUAGAAUUCCACGUGUAGCAGUGAAAUGCGUAGAGAUGUGG
rnacentral:rRNA from 1 species